UACGUAGGGUGCAAGCGUUGUCCGGAAUUAUUGGGCGUAAAGAGCUCGUAGGCGGUUUGUCGCGUCCGCUGUGAAAUCCCGAGGCUCAACCUCGGGCUUGCAGUGGGUACGGGCAGACUAGAGUGCGGUAGGGGAGAUUGGAAUUCCUGGUGUAGCGGUGGAAUGCGCAGAUAUCAGGAGGAACACCGAUGGCGAAGGCAGAUCUCUGGGCCGUAACUGACGCUGAGGAGCGAAAGCAUGGGGAGCGAACAGG
rnacentral:rRNA from 1 species